AUUGAACGCUGGCGGCAUGCUUUACACAUGCAAGUCGAACGGUAACAGGCCGCAAGGUGCUGACGAGUGGCGAACGGGUGAGUAAUGCAUCGGAACGUGCCCAGUCGUGGGGGAUAACGCAGCGAAAGCUGUGCUAAUACCGCAUACGAUCUAUGGAUGAAAGCGGGGGACCGUAAGGCCUCGCGCGAUUGGAGCGGCUGAUGUCAGAUUAGGUAGUUGGUGGGGUAAAGGCCUACCAAGCCGACGAUCUGUAGCUGGUCUGAGAGGACGACCAGCCACACUGGGACUGAGACACGGCCCAGACUCCUACGGGAGGCAGCAGUGGGGAAUUUUGGACAAUGGGCGCAAGCCUGAUCCAGCAAUGCCGCGUGCAGGAAGAAGGCCUUCGGGUUGUAAACUGCUUUUGUACGGAACGAAACGGUCUGGGUUAAUACCCUGGGCUAAUGACGGUACCGUAAGAAUAAGCACCGGCAAACUUCGUGCCAGCCGCCGCAGUAAAAC
rnacentral:rRNA from 1 species